rnacentral:rRNA from 1 species
UGGGGAAUCUUCCGCAAUGGACGAAAGUCUGACGGAGCAACGCCGCGUGAGUGAAGACGGCCUUCGGGUUGUAAAGCUCUGUGAUCCGGGACGAAAGAGCCUGAGGUGAAUAGCCUAAGGAAGUGACGGUACCGGAAAAGCAAGCCACGGCUAACUACGUGCCAGCAGCCGCGGUAAUACGUAGGUGGCAAGCGUUGUCCGGAAUUAUUGGGCGUAAAGCGCGCGCAGGCGGCUUCCUAAGUCCAUCUUAAAAGUGCGGGGCUUAACCCCGUGAUGGGAUGGAAACUGGGAAGCUGGAGUAUCGGAGAGGAAAGUGGAAUUCCUAGUGUAGCGGUGAAAUGCGUAGAGAUUAGGAAGAACACCGGUGGCGAAGGCGACUUUCUGGACGAAAACGGACGCUGAGGCGCGAAAGCGUGGGGAGCAAACAGG